ACGGGAGGCAGCAGUGGGGAAUAUUGCACAAUGGGCGCAAGCAUGAUGCAGCGAUGCCGCGUGAGGGAAGAAGGUUUUCGGAUUGUAAACCUCUGUCAUCGGGGACGAUAAUGACUGUACCCGAGAAGGAAGCUCCGGCUAACUACGUGCCAGCAGCCGCGGGAAUACGUAGGGAGCGAGCGAUAUCCGGAAUUACUGGGUGUAAAGGGAGUGUAGGCGGGACUGUAAGUCAGAUGUGAAAUAUACCGGCUCAACUGGUAGACUGCAUUUGAAACUGCGGUUCUUGAGUGAAGUAGAGGUAAGCGGAACUCCUAGUGUAGCGGUGAAAUGCGUAGAUAUUAGGAGGAACAUCAGUGGCGAAGGCGGCUUACUGGGCUUUAACUGACGCUGAGGCUCGAAAGCGUGGGGAGCAAACAGGAUUAGAUACCCUGGUC
rnacentral:rRNA from 1 species